rnacentral:rRNA from 1 species
CCAAUAGCGUAUACUAAAGUUGUUGCAGUUAAAAAGCUCGUAGUUGAAUUUCAGGCCUGGCUGGACGGUCCGCCCUUCGGGUGAGUACUGUCUGUGGUCGGGUCCUACCUUCUGGCGAAGCGUCAUGGCCUUAACCGGCCGUGGCGGGGAACCAGGACUUUUACUGUGAAAAAAUUAGAGUGUUCAAAGCAGGCAAUCGCUUGGAUACGUUAGCAUGGAAUAAUGGAAUAGGACAAUGGUUCUAUUUGUUGGUUUCUAGGACCGUUGUAAUGAUUAAUAGGGAUAGUUGGGGGCAUUAGUAUUCAAUUGUCAGAGGUGAAAUUCUUGGAUUUAUUGAAGACUAACUACUGCGAAAGCAUUUGCCAAGGAUGUUUUCAUUAAUCAAGAACGAAAGUUAGGGGAUCGAAGACGAUCAGAUACCGUCGUAGUCUUAACCAUAAACUAUGCCGACUAGGAAUCGGGCGAUGUUGACAAAAUGACGCGCUCGGCACCUCAUG